rnacentral:rRNA from 1 species
CCUACGGGAGGCAGCAGUGAGGAAUAUUGGUCAAUGGACGCAAGUCUGAACCAGCCAUGCCGCGUGCAGGAAGACGGCUCUAUGAGUUGUAAACUGCUUUUGUACGAGGGUAAACGCAGAUACGCGUAUCUGUCUGAAAGUAUCGUACGAAUAAGGAUCGGCUAACUCCGUGCCAGCAGCCGCGGUAAUACGGAGGAUUCAAGCGUUAUCCGGAUUUAUUGGGUUUAAAGGGUGCGUAGGCGGUCGGAUAAGUUAGAGGUGAAAUCCCGAGGCUCAACUUCGGAAUUGCCUCUGAUACUGUUCGGCUAGAGAGUAGUUGCGGUAGGCGGAAUGUAUGGUGUAGCUGUGAAAUGCUUAGAGAUCCUACAGAACACCGAUUGCGAAGGCAGCUUACCAAGCUACUUCUGACGUUGAGGCACGAAAGCGUGGGGAGCAAACAGGAUUAGAUACCCUUGUAGUC